AAGCUUUGGCAGCAGUCCAACAGAUGAGUUGCAUUCCAAGAAAACAUCUAAAAUAGAGAGAUGUAAUAAUAAGAAAGGGGUAACUCCCUGCUGCUAAUGCCCUGUGAAUGCCAAAAGCCAGCUCUGAAGUAUCUGCAUUUUCUUCUCAGUGAAACAAGUGCAAAGGAGUGGACCAGGCUCGGCAGUCCAGAUACAGCAUCUUCGAAAGAGACCACCAAUCUGAAUUCAAAGACUUCAAGAGAUGGAGAAACCACCACUUCCCUUGGGAGUUCAU